UGCCAGCCGCCGCGGUAAUACGGAGGGGGUUAGCGUUGUUCGGAAUUACUGGGCGUAAAGCGUGCGUAGGCGGAUCGACAAGUUGGGGGUGAAAUCCCGGGGUUUAACCCCGGAACUGCCCUCAAAACUGUCGAUCUAGAGACCGGGAGAGGUAAGCGGAAUUCCUAGUGUAGAGGUGAAAUUCGUAGAUAUUAGGAAGAGCACCAGUGGCGAAGGCGGCUAACUGGCUCGGUACUGACGCUGAGAUGCGAAAGCGUGGGGAGCAAACAGGAUUAGAUA
rnacentral:rRNA from 1 species